rnacentral:rRNA from 1 species
GAAGUCUAGAGUGAGGGAGAGGCAGAUGGAAUUGGUGGUGUAGGGGUAAAAUCCGUAGAUAUCACCAAGAAUACCCAUUGCGAAGGCGAUCUGCUGGAACUCAACUGACGCUAAGGCGCGAAAGCGUGGGGAGCAAACAGGAUUAGAUACCCUGGUAGUCCACGCCCUAAACGAUGUACACUAGUUGUUGGGGUGCUAGUCAUCUCAGUAAUGCAGCUAACGCAUUAAGUGUACCGCCUGGGGAGUACGGUCGCAAGAUUAAAACUCAAAGGAAUAGACGGGGACCCGCACAAGCGGUGGAGCAUGUGGUUUAAUUCGAAGAUACGCGAAGAACCUUACCUGGGCUUGAUAUCCUAAGAACCUUUUAGAGAUAAGAGGGUGCUAGCUUGCUAGAACUUAGAGACAGGUGCUGCACGGCUGUCGUCAGCUCGUGUCGUGAGAUGUUGGGUUAAGUCCCGCAACGAGCGCAACCCACGUAUUUAGUUGCUAACGGUUCGGCCGAGCACUCUAAAUAGACUGCCUUCGUAAGGAGGAGGAAGGUGUGGACGACGUCAAGUCAUCAUGGCCCUUAUGCCCAGGGCGACACACGUGCUACAAUGGCAUAUACAAUGAGACGCAAUACCGCGAGGUGGAGCAAAUCUAUAAAAUAUGUCCCAGUUCGGAUUGUUCUCUGCAACUCGAGAGCAUGAAGCCGGAAUCGCUAGUAAUCGUAGAUCAGCCAUGCUACGGUGAAUACGUUCCCGGGUCUUGUACUCACCGCCCGUCACACCAUGGGAGUUGAUUUCACUCGAAGCCGGAAUACUAAAU